CGGCUCAGCCCUACGGCAUUCAAAAGUCACAUUAAUAAAGUUAUUUUAAGAUAACAAGUGCUAUCUUAAGAUAACUCUAUUAAUGUGAUUUCGGAAUGCGUGUAUAUUCACAUAAAUGUCUUGAUUGUAAGAUAACUCGAGUUAUUUUAAGAUAACAUAAAUGUGAUAAUUCUAUCUUUUCUAAUGCGCAUAUGUGUAAAUGAACGUUGCUUAGGGUGCGGAUACGUAAAGUAGCUCACAAAACAACAGCCUACAUGAAUUUCCGGCCGUAUUGACAUUUAUUUUGAUACGUCAUUUGUAUUGUCCUUGUGGUGUCGCGUAUGUGCUCUGCUGUAGAGUUCGCUCUGCGGUGGAGAACAAGAUGCAUUUUGUUAGUUUUGUGUUGUGAUGUAUUGUCCCGUGUUAAUUAUGUAAAGAGAAUAAUUGUAAUUUUGGUACUAUUUUUAGUUAAAUUUUCUGCACAUCUUGCACAUCUUUUUUCUGCGCAUUCAGUCUUCAACAUGUAAUGACAGAGUCGAACAUACAUUUUUGUAUUAAAUUUGCUGUUGAGUGAAAUUUUUCUUUCAUACAUCACAGGAGUUGUCCUGUAUCUCAGCAUCUGUUUUAGUUGUUUUCUCUCACAUGUAGUUGGCUUGGCUUACGCCACUAUAUAUCUAGUUAAAUCUUGGCAUUCAUUUUUUUGCUUUGCUAAAUUGUAUUUUUGGUAAUAUAGAACAGACAGCCAAUUACUGAUAUGAAAAAUCGUAAGAAUAAUAUUAAACGAAGAUCCAUACAAUGUAAAUUGGAGAAACUGAUUACAUUACAACGAACGAGUGAAUGAUCAGUGAAAAACAAUCUAAGAAAUGUAUGGAUGCUGAGUCGUUUACAACACAUGUAAAAAAGUGCGCCAAAUAUAAUUUUUUUUAAAAAAUCUGCCGAAUU